CCCUUCCACCCCCUUUAUAAGAGUCUUAUGUAUUCCAACUAGUUGCUUUUCUUUUUUCAAAAAAACAAUUUGUCAAAGUUAAUUUAUACUGUUUUCAGUUUUCUGAAUAAUGAAAUGAUUUUCCAUGCCCAAGAUUAUUCAGAUGUUCUUCUAUUGGACUGGUGUUAAUUGGGUUAUCAUCUAUAAAUCUUGAAAAUCUUUACUCUUUUGGAGUAGUAGUAACUUAGAUAUGUUCAUGGCUGGUGGAGUAUGUUGCCAGACUAAUGUGCAUACAGUUUCACAGACUGCUCCUUCUCCGGGAAUCUCCUUGAUACACACUUUGCCUCAUGAAGCUGAAAUCUCAAGUGUCUCAAGUACUGAUUCAUCAAGUGGUCCUUCAAACUAUUCACGCAAUGUGCAGACCAAAUCUGGGCCUCUCAAAGAUGUACAUGUACCAACAAGGUUGAUGGAGAAUUUUCUGGAAAUCGCCAGCGACAACACUAAGAAGGAUAUAGAGACCUAUGGAUUUCUUGGUGCAUCUUUAAAGAUGACAUCUUUUAUAUUACCUCUCUAAUAAUACCAAAACAAGAAUCAACCUCCAAUUCUUGUCAAGCCCUACAAGAGGAGGAAAUGUUUGCCAUACUACAUGAACAGUCCCUCUUUCCAAUUGGAUGGAUUCAUGUAAGUCCUCUUCUCUUUCUCAGUUAACUUUAAUGUGCUUUAUAUAUAUUUAGAUGGAAUCGUAUAUAAGGCGAUAAAAUAAUUGAAAGAAAACUGAAUUUUAAGUGACUUAAUGCAUUUGGCGUCUGACCUGUAUAUUACUUUUGAUGGCGAACAUGCUGCAAACUCUGGUUUGAGUUUCUUUUAUCCGUAAAAUGACAUUCAAGAGUUUAAAAGAACCUUUAAUCUAUUCAUAUGGGACUUUAUGUUCUGCGACUUGAAUAACAUCGAGAUAAUUAAAUUUGUAAGAAAGUCCUGAACUCCGAUAUUAUAGAAUCUUCAGAACAUCUGUUAGAGCUAUUAUUCCCUUUAAUUCUGCACCAGUAAUCAAGAUGUAUCCACCGUUAUAUGUUUUUGAGUUUCGACAGGGAAGAUUUUUCUCUGUUGUCAGCUUCAUCUUUGAUAGUCUACAGAGACGCCUUAAAUAUGAACUGUCUAGAUCAAAUUGAUUGUCAAGUUUAAUACUCAUUUCAAUUAUUCUUAAGGUAAUAUCUUGAAAUAUAUAGUUGAAAAUCAACUUCCAUUGCCAUUGGCUUUGUUCUAAUUUUUCUCCAGACGCAUCCAUCUCAGAGCUGUUUCAUGUCAUCGAUCGAUUUGCAUACUCAAUAUUCGUAUCAGGUACGUUCACUCCUGAUGGAUUUAUACCUUUGUGCAUUUCAUUAUUGGAGAUAGUUAAGAUGUUGAGAAUUUAAUGGAAGAGAUUACUUCAUUCUGAUUGUGAUUGAUAGAACUGAGUUACAGGUAUAACUUGUGCUAACUUGUGGUACACGAUGUGAUUGGAAUAUCUAAAAGUAUUUCUGUCAUUAUAAAUAAUAGGUGAGUCAGACAAAGAAAACACUCCUUUUUCUAGCUUCCACGCUUUCAUUUCCAAUUAAAACUGAAUAUUUUUAUCACUGAAAUCAGCAUUCUUCCACCAUUCUUGGUAACACUGAAGAAGAAGGUACGCAAACCAAAAAUAUAGUGCAAUGCGUGAUUUAGGAGGAAUAUUAACUUUGGACUAUAGAAAUUUAAGUCCAAAAUAUUUGGAGUUCAUAUGUUUAUGCUACACUUUUAAACUGAGAAUCAAGAAACUCCGCCUGCCAAAUGAACAUUUGGUCAUGCACUUAAUUACUUUUGAAACGCUUAACCUUGACUAAUUGUGAAUGGGGUGUCAUUACUCCCUUUUAUGUGCUAUAAAUUUAGAAUAGCAAAUUUAAAUGAUAUUAGCUGUUCUAUCCUUCAUUUAUUUUUCCAUUUUUACCGUCCAUCUAUCAGCGUAAUAGUUCAGUUUAACAACUUCAAUUUAUAGGAACAGUAUCUCAACUUCAAAUUUACACCUAUAUCCAUUUGGAAUUGAACUCCUCAAGCCAUUUCUUGUGUUAGACUGUCAAAUAGUCACAUAAAUGAUAUCAACUAAAGCAAUAUUCUUGAAUCCAUUCUUUACAUGGUAUCAGAGCCAGGCCCGCCCAGUUCAUUGUUUCCGAUGUUGGGCCCCCAUAUUAUAAUUGCCACGCACUAGAUAUCCAACGCACUAGAUAUCCAGCCCUGGGCGUGAGGUGAGGCGUUAAGUCCCACAUUGGUGGCUUAAAGAGUAUACGGUCUCCUUAUAUGGACUUGGGCAAUUCUCCCCUCAUGAGCUAGUCUUUGGGGUUGAGUUAGGCCCAAGUCCAUUCUUUACCCUUAGCAUUCACCUACGUGCUUUGUUUCAGCAUUACUUCCCAAGAUUUUCCACUAAACUUGUUAUUGUGCUAUAAUACACCUUGCGCUUGUGAUCAUUUACAUCCGUGCUAUUUGUCAUAUUUUCUCACUUUCUGCUUUAUUUUUAGGUCAUGGUACCAGAGGCUAUUGGAAUUGUCAUGGCUCCUACCGAUACAUCAAGGGCAUAUGGAAUAUUCCAGCUAUCUGAUGGUGGAAAGAAAAUCCUCAAGGACUGCCCAGAGAAAGGAUUUCAUCUUCAUAAAGAACCAGUUGAUGGGAGUCCCCUCUAUGGGGAUUGCUCCAAUGUCUAUAUUAAUUCAUGUCUAAGACUAGAGAUAUUUGAUUUACGAUGAUUGGAUGAUGUAGCGUUAACAUGCA